GUUGUUGCGGUUAAAAAGCUCGUAGUUGGAUCUGUGUAUCGGACGGUCGGUUCGCCGCCCGCGGUGUUUAACUGACCGGUCCGGACGUCCUGCCGGUGGGACCCGGUUCACGCCGGGGCCCGUAACUCCCUCCGUGCUGCUCUUAACCGAGUGGUUCGGUGGGCCGGCACGUUUACUUUGAACAAAUUUGAGUGCUCAAAGCAGGCCUUAUGUUGCCUGAAAACUGUGUGCAUGGAAUAAUGGAAUAGGACCUUGGUUCUAUUUUGUUGGCUUUUCUGAACUCGAGGUAAUGAUUAAUAGGGACAGACGGGGGCAUUCGUAUUACGACGUUAGAGGUGAAAUUCUUGGAUCGUCGUAAGACGAACCGAUGCGAAAGCGUUUGCCAAGAAUGUUUUCGCUAAUCAAGAACGAAAGUUAGAGGUUCGAAGGCGAUCAGAUACCGCCCUAGUUCUAACCAUAAACGAUGCCAGCCAGCGAUGCGCCGAAGUUCUUUCGAUGACUCGGCGCGCAGCUUCCGGGAAACCAAAGCUUUUGGGUUCCGGGGGAAGUA
rnacentral:rRNA from 1 species